CUGGAGCAUGUCUUGGAACAAUAGUGUAACAGGCUAACUUGACACUAACAGAGAGAGACAAUUCAUCUCCAAAGAAGUAGAUGUGCAUGAGAGCUGACUGUCUUAACCAGAGUUGUCACUGUAUAGAAGGAGAGUUAUGAUUCUGAUAACACCACAUUCACAGAUCCAGCUAUGCCUGUUCUUGGAGUCAGCCCAUCUUUGGUACAAGAAAGGCACGAGAAGAAAACUCUAGUGGAUUCCAGUUGUCUGCUGUUCAAGUCUUCCCAGGAAUCCUCAUCCUUUCUCCAAAUUCUACUGUUAAUGAAGGAACAAGAAAUGAAGCACCAUGGAAAUCAAGCAGAGGGCAUUCAAGUGGGACUUUCAUUCUUUCAGAAAUAGUUGAGCUAAAUCAAAGUUGCCUGAGGAAGAAUAAAAAUGUGAUGUUCUGUCAUUGAACCCCACUACAUUGUCUGAA
rnacentral:lncRNA from 1 species